rnacentral:rRNA from 1 species
GACGAACGCUGGCGGCGUGCUUAACACAUGCAAGUCGAACGGAAAGGCCCUGCUUUUGUGGGGUGCUCGAGUGGCGAACGGGUGAGUAACACGUGAGUAACCUGCCCUUGACUUUGGGAUAACUUCAGGAAACUGGGGCUAAUACCGGAUAGGAGCUCCUGCUGCAUGGUGGGGGUUGGAAAGUUUCGGCGGUUGGGGAUGGACUCGCGGCUUAUCAGCUUGUUGGUGGGGUAGUGGCUUACCAAGGCUUUGACGGGUAGCCGGCCUGAGAGGGUGACCGGCCACAUUGGGACUGAGAUACGGCCCAGACUCGUACGGGAGGCAGCAGUGGGAAAUAUGGCACAAUGGGCGGAAGCCUGAUGCAGCAACGCCGCGUGCGGGAUGACGGCCUUCGGGUUGUAAACCGCUUUCGCCUGUGACGAAGCGUGAGUGACGGUAAUGGGUAAAGAAGCACCGGCUAACUACGUG